GUAAAUAUAGCUUAGUCGGUAAAGCAGCAGAUUGUGAUUCUGAAGACCACGGGUUCAAAUCCCGUUAUUUACC
rnacentral:tRNA from 1 species